CUGCCCCAGGAAAUCGGCCGUGCUGACGUGGGAAGGCGCUGCCUCGCUCCGCGCGCACCGUCCCGGGUUCUCGGGCUGCCGGGUUCCAGCACUUUUCCGACCGAAUCAAAUACAGUUUUCUAAAUCAUAAUCUAUGAGCAGAUUAAAACCCUUCUCCUGUAGUCUCAUGUAGUCUCCUAUUCUGAAUCCUAUCCCUGCCCGGCAUCGCAGCAGCAGCCCAAGGAGUGCAAAAAAUAUAUAUGGAAAAUGCAGGCGCAUCAGCAGGUUCAGCUUGGAUGUUGGCAAAAGGAACUGCAGCAUCCUUCAAGUCCUCCCCUGUGGCCGUCACCUCCUGACCAGAAAUGUGCCAAGAUGCAUAGAUGACAUUCUGUUGCUAACAAAUGUCCAGAAAACAACUGAAAAGAGUGGUAUCACAAGGCAAGAUUUCCCUCCUGCCCAGAGGCCAGGGCCAAUGAAGCUUUUGGCGUGCACAUAACUCCUAAGCAUAAUGCAACAGAGCAAUGGAACUACCGACAACUGCCCUCUCCAUUCCUCUCCCACACAGUGUCAGCCCAAACCUGCAUGCUGAGAUGUGGCUAAACUGUUCCUUUCACUCCAUUUUAACAAAUGACUAUCUAUGACUGUCACUGCCAAGAUAAGUACUGUCCCCCUGCUAUUGCCUAUUUACAGUACUUGCAUAUUCUAUCACAGAUUAAUUCAAAGGCUGAAUGGUUUUGGCCUACUAUUAUUUAAAUUGUUUGGAGAUGGGAAAUGAGAAAAACUUUCCUAAGCUUUUUCUUUAACCAACAAACAGGCAAAGUAUUUUUUCAAAUGACUGUUUCUGAUGCAGUCUGACCUGUCAUUCUACAUCCCCCUGCCUCUCAGUCACCACGAGGUCCAUGAAGAACAAUACAAUGUUACAUUCCCAGAAUAUACUCUUUCCUUCUAUGCAAGCAAGUCAGCCAAACAAUUACAUGGGCUGUUUUAACUGCUGGCAAUGUCUCAUUUUCCAGCAUUAUUCUUUAAGCACUAGAUGGUGCUCCAUUCCUCUUGCCCAUUCACCAUUUGUGUUCCCCUCUCAAAAUGGAAAAAGAUACAAGCUGUGGAUAAGCAGGGAAUCUUAGCUGCAGUUUCUGAUUCAGUAGGAAAGAUCUUAUUUAACUUCAGUUAACUGUUUCAUCUAACACCAGUUGACUAUAUGACAACAUCAAUACAUGAGUUUACUUUUUUUUUGCUGUUAUUGCACUGCAUUUUAGCAAGAACUCCUCACUAUGAAAAAACAGCAAUAUACAAUUCAGUGAAUGGCAGCAUUGAUUUCUAGCUGGAAAUCUGUAAUCUGACUUGUGAAGACAUCCAGGCCAGUUGGCAGUUGUGUAAAAGAGAAAGAGUCAAACUACACCCCUUAUGAAUAGAAAAGCGAGAAUUACUUAACUGUGGCAAGAAGCUGAGCAAUCCAUAUGCACACAGUCCUUGGCCUGUCAGCAUCCAUCUGGAUCUCACCUGGCUGCUACAGGGCUUGGGAGGUAUGCUGAAGAGGAAAAGCAGAAUUUUGAGUACUGUUGUAGAGAUUAAACGAUUAAUGGGUAAAAGAUAAAACCAAAGCUAAUAACACAAUUAAUAAAACACAAUUAUUUCAGCUGCA